rnacentral:lncRNA from 1 species
UGCAGUCUGGGACACGUAGUUGCAAACCUAGCGACUUUGUUGUUAGAUUCAAUUACUUUUCAGACCCCCUAACGACUUUUUUUAGAAAGAAAGGGACUUUUAUCGACUUCUUCUGGAGUUUAGAGACUCUGACAUGAAGCAGGCUUUCCUUACUGAGGAGUUAGCAACGCUGCUAAGGGUGCAGAGCCACACAUGCGCUCCGAGCUCUGCAUGGGAGACUGAAGCUGACAGAGCUGCAGCAGUUAGCAGGUUUCACCCUCAGAGACCACCAGGGGUUCAUGUUGAGGCAUUUUCAGUUUUUGUUUUUUUUGCCAUAGACUGUCAGCACAAUCUGCAGUUACACUAACAAAAAUGCUGCAAAAAACAAAGAAUUAUGGAAAAAUUACACAUGGACUGACAUAGAGGAGGAUCUACACAAGUUUUUUACAUCAUGUUUUACAUCAUGCAUCAUUUACAUCAUGUUUUUUUGUAGUGGCAUAAAUAAAAAGUGACAUUUGUGAGACUAUACAGUGUUUUGUAAAUAAUUUUACAAAGAACGCCUGGGCCAUUGCCUGCAUUUUGAUGUAAAUAGAGGUAAAUUACUAUGUUCUUUGUUAAAAAUUUGCAUAUGUUUUGAAGUUUACAAUUUUUAUUUGAAGUUUAAGUUUUAAAAACAGUUCAUCACACAUAUUUGUGUUUUAAUUUCACAUUAAUUUCCAUAUUGUAUAAAUGACUGGAAAAAACUUGAGCCCCUGCCCCUGUAUUAUCAUGUGCACGUCCCUGUUCUAGCUCCAAGGUGAAUCUUCACUGCUCAUGUUCUCCUCAGAAAUAGUCACCUCACUCCCCUCAGGUUACUGUACACAUGCACCAACUAUCUGCUUCAGGUUUGGAUGGAGCUUCAUGGUUGUCUUUUGGAGAAAUGAACAGUCAAGUUGUGUUUGAAAUCUGAUUUUUUUCAGGGGCAAAAGGAAGCCUCUGCAUUCUUGUCAAAUAUGUAAACAGCAUGUUUUUGCAGGUGCUAAAAAACAGACUCUGAGUGUGUGUGUGUGUGUGUGUGUGUGUGUGUGUGUGUGUGUGUGUGUGUGUGUGUGUGUGUGUAUAUAUGUGUGUGUAUCCUGCAGUACUCUGUACUCCUGCAGUGGCCAAAAAGACUUUUAAGAAUGUGGAUUUUUGGGUCAUCUUUGGCGCCCCCUAGAACUGCAGUACUCUGUACUCCUGCAGUGGCCAAAAUGACUUUUAAGAAUGUGGAUUUUUGGGUCAUCUUUGGCGCCCCCUAGAACGUAAACCGUGGGGUGCAGCGUCAUGAUUUUUACAACUUUGAAUGGGCAUGGGGUGUAGAUUGCCCUGAGCAAAUUUGGUAUCGGUGGGACGAAAGCCUUAGGAGGAGAUAGCCACAUUCCAAUGUGUGCGAAUCGGCAAAAAAUGCGAAAUAGCCCUUUAACCGUACAUUAUACAGAUACGCGCUUUUUGACUUUUUCGUAGAUCUAAUUGAGAUACACGUGAUUGUCAAUUUUUGUGUCAAUAUGACAAAGCGUUCAGGCAUGACACUCAACAAUGUGUAUUUUCAUGUAAGGGGACAAGAAAAAAUUGACUUUUUUCUCCUGCCAUGGGGGGGCGCUCUUUUGGGGAGUAAAAAUUCCUUCACAAAUGUGUUGAUGGCUGGACAUUGCAUCAUCCUAGAAAACUUGGAGGGCAGUGAGGACAAAAAUAAAAAGUUAUAAGACUUUUAAGAAUGUGGAUUUUGGGUUAUCUUUGGCGCCCCCUAGAACGUAAACCGUGGGGUGCAGCGUCAUGAUUUGUACAACUUUUAAUGGCCAUGGGAGGUAGAUUGGCCUGCGCAAAUGUGGUGCCGGUCGAACGAAAGCCUUCGGAGGAGUUAGCGAAAUUCCAAUGUGUGCAGAUCUGCAAAAAAUGCAAAAUAACCCAUUAACCGUACAUUUGACAGAUACGCCCGUACUGACUUUUUUAUAGAUCUUAUUGAGAUACAUGUGUGUGUCAAUUUUUGUGUCAAUAUGACAAAGCGUACAGCCGUCAUGUGAAUUUUCACCUUAGGGGGCGCUAUGGAGCCAUUUUGCAUUUUAUUGUUUGGGCGACUUCAGAAUAUCGAAUUUUUCACCAGGCCCGGUCGUCCUGCCAAAUUUCCUGAGUUUUCGCCAGUGGGAAGUGGGCCAUUUUCCAGUUUAAAGCGGAGGAAAAAUAAUAACGAACUAGGGCCCCGGUGGGGCACUGGCGGGCCCGAGCCGUGUCACGCCGCCCCCAGCGCGACCGCCUACCCCUCCCGAUCGCGUCACACUCAAGGUCCAAAGAUGGUGUGCGCACUUGUCUGUGGUCAUUUACCAUUAUAAUGAAUGGGAGGCGCAGUUUCUACCAAAACACUCGCUGCAGACAAACUCCAUGUCCUUUUUGAAAAAAGUCUGGACCAUGAGUGAGGGCACAAACACAGCUAGUAUAUAUCCAAAUGGCAAGUUGCUCCUCCUUUCGGUUUUGCCGAGAAAGCGAUGCGUUUGAGCCAUUGAGCGAUGGGCAGGAAAAACUUGACUUUUUCUCCUGACAUGGGGGGGCGCUCUUUUGGGGAGAAAAAAUUCCUUCACAAAUGUGUUGAUGGCUGGACAUUGCAUCAUCCUAGAAAACUUGGAGGCCAGUGAGGACAAAAAUAAAAAGUUAUAAGACUUUAAAAAUGUGGAUAUUUGGGUCCUCUUUGGCGCCCCCUAGAACGUAGACCAUGGGGUGCAGCGUCAUGAUUUUUACAACUUUGAAUGGCCAUGGGGUGUAGAUUGGCCUGAGCAAAUUUGGUGUCAGUGGGACGAAAGCCUUAGGAGGAGUUAGCCACAUUCCUAUGUGUGCGAAUCGGCAAAAAAUGCGAAAUAGCCCUUUAACCGUACAUUUUACAGAUACGCGCGCAUUGACUUUUUCGUAGAUCUUAUUGAGAUACACGUGAUUGUCAAAUUUUGUGUCAAUAUGACAAAGCGUACAGGCGUGACAUUCAACAAUGUGUAUUUUCACCUUAGGGGACAAGAAAAAAUUGACUUUUUUGUCCUGCCAUGGGGGGGCGCUCUUUUGGGGAGUAAAAAUUCCUUCACAAAUGUGUUGAUGGCUGGACAUUGCAUCAUCCUAGAAAACUUGGAGGCCAGUGAGGGCAAAAAUAAAAAGUUAUAAAACUUUUAAGAAUGUGGAUUUUAGGGUUAUUUUUGGCGCCCCCUAGAACCUAAACCAUGGGGUGCAGCAUCAUGAUUUGUACAACUUUGAAUGGCCAUGGAGUGUAGAUUGGCCUGAGCAAAUGUGGUGCCGGUGGACCGAAAGCCUUCGGAGGAGUUAGCGAAAUUCCAAUGUGUGCGGAUCUGCAAAAAAUGCGAAAUAACCCUUUAACCGUACAUUUGACAGAUACGCCCGCACUGACUUUUUUGUAGAUCUUAUUGAGAUACAUGUGUGUGUCAAUUUUUGUGUCAAUAUGACAAAGCGUACAGGCGUGACAGUCAAUAGUGUGAAUUUUCACCUUAGGGGGCGCUAUGGAGCCAUUUUGUAUUUUAUUGUUUGGGCGACUUCAGAAUAUCGAAUUUUUCACCAGGCCCGGUCGUCCUGCCAAAUUUCCUGAGUUUUCGCCAGUGGGAAGUGGGCCAUUUUCCAGUUUAAAGCGGAGGAAAAAUAAUAAUAACUAGGGCCCCGGUGGGGCACUGGCGGGCCCGAGCCGUGUCGCGCCGCCCCCAGCGCGACCGCCUACCCCUCCCGAUCGCGUCACACUCAAGGUUCAAAGAUGGUGUGCGCACUUGUCUGUGGUCAUUUACCAUUAUAAUGAAUGGGAGGCGCAGUUUCUACCAAAAUGCUCGCUGCAGACAAACUCCAUGUCCUUUUUGAAAAAAGUCUGGACCAUGAGUGAGGGCACAAACACAGCUAAGAUAUAUCCAAAUGGCAAGUUGCUCCUC